AGAAUGACUCUCGGCAACGGAGAUCUAGGCUCUUGCAUCGAUGAAGAACGUAGCGAAAUGCGAUACUUGGUGUGAAUUGCAGAAUCCCGUGAACCAUCGAGUCUUUGAACGCAAGUUGCGCCCGAUGCCAUUAGGUUGAGGGCACGUCUGCCUGGGUGUCACAU
rnacentral:rRNA from 1 species